CCUACGGGAGGCAGCAGUGAGGAAUAUUGGUCAAUGGACGGAAGUCUGAACCAGCCAUGCCGCGUGCAGGAUGACGGCUCUAUGAGUUGUAAACUGCUUUUGUAUUGGGGUAAACACCCCUACGUGUAGGGGCUUUAAUGUAUAAUACGAAUAAGUAUCGGCUAAUUCCGUUCCAUCAGCCGCGGUAAUACGGAGGAUCCAUGCGUUAUCCGGAUUUAUUGAGUUUCAAGGGUGCGUAGGCGGUUUGAUAAGUUAGCUGUGAAAUACCGGUGCUCAACACCGGACUUGCCUCGAAUACUGUUGAACUAGAGAGUAGGUGCGGUAGGCGGAAUGUAUGGUGUAGCGGUGAAAUGCUUAGAGAUCAUACAGAACACCGAUUGCGAAGGCAGCUUACCAAAGUAUAUCUGACGUUGAGGCACGAAAGCGUGGGUAGCGAACAGGAUUAGAUACCCGGGUAGUC
rnacentral:rRNA from 1 species